rnacentral:SRP_RNA from 1 species
GCCGGGCGCGGUGGCCCAUGCCUGUAGUCCCAGCUACUCGGGAGGCUGAGGCAGGAGGAUCGCUUGAGCCCAGGAGUUCUGGGCUGUAAUGCGCUAUGCCAAUCGGGUGUCCGCACUAAGUUCGGCAUCAAUAUGGUGACCUCCCGGGAGUGGGGGACCACCAGGUUGCCUAAGGAGGGGUGAACCGGCCCAGGUCGGAAACGGAGCAGGUCAAAACUCCCGUGCUGAUCAGUUAACCUGUCUAAUAGCCAUUCACUAGUUCUUCCUUAGUAACAAAAUACUU